AUACGGAAGAUGCGAGCGUUAUCCGGAUUUAUUGGGUUUAAAGGGAGCGUAGGCGGGUUUUUAAGUCUGCGGUAAAAUGUCGGCGCCCAACGUCGUCUUGCCGUGGAAACUGGAGACCUUGAAUACACGCAAGGAAGAUGGAAUUCGUCGUGUAGCGGUGAAAUGCUUAGAUAUGACGAAGAACUCCGAAUGCGAAGGCAGUCUUCUGGAGUGCGAUUGACGCUGAGGCUCGAAAGUGCGGGUAUCAAACAGGAUUAGAUACCCUGGUAGUUCGCACCGUAAACGAUGAAUGCUCGUUAUUGGCGAUACACGGUCAGUAACCAAGGGAAACCAUUAAGCAUUCCACCUGGGGAGUACGCCGGCAACGGUGAAACUCAAAUGAAUUGACGGGG
rnacentral:rRNA from 1 species